rnacentral:rRNA from 1 species
ACGUACGCUGGCGGCACGCCUAACACAUGCAAGUCGAACGAAGUAGCAAUACUUAGUGGCAGACGGGUGAGUAACAUGUAGGUAUCUGCCCUUUGGCCUGGAAUAACACGAGGAAACUUGUGCUAAUACCGGAUAAGUCUUUACGGAGAAAGCUUUAUGCACCAUUGGAUGAGCCUGCACUUGAUUAGUUUGUUGGUGGGGUAAUGGCCUACCAAGACUGUGAUCAAUAGCUGAUUUGAGAGGAUGAUCAGCCACAUUGGGACUGAGACACGGCCCAAACUCCUACGGGAGGCAGCAGUGGGGAAUCUUGCACAAUGGAGGAAACUCUGAUGCAGCGAUGCCGCGUGAGUGAAGAAGGCCCUUGGGUUGUAAAGCUCUUUCGUCGGGGAAGAAAAUGACUGUACCCGAAUAAGAAGGUCCGGCUAACUUCGUGCCAGCAGCCGCGGUAAUACGAAGGGACCUAGCGUAGUUCGGAAUUACUGGGCUUAAAGAGUUCGUAGGUGGUUGAAAAAGUUAGUGGUGAAAUCCCAGAGCUUAACUCUGGAACUGCCAUUAAAACUUUUCAGCUAGAGUAUGAUAGAGGAAAGCAGAAUUUCUAGUGUAGAGGUGAAAUUCGUAGAUAUUAGAAAGAAUACCAAUUGCGAAGGCAGCUUUCUGGAUCAUUACUGACACUGAGGAACGAAAGCAUGGGUAGCGAAGAGGAUUAGAUACCCUCGUAGUCCAUGCCGUAAACGAUGUGUGUUAGACGUUGGAAAUUUAUUUUCAGUGUCGCAGGGAAACCGAUAAACACACCGCCUGGGGAGUACGACCGCAAGGUUAAAACUCAAAUGAAUUGACGGGGACCCGCACAAGUAGUGGAGCAUGUGGUUUAAUUCGAAGAUACGCGCAGAACCUUACCAACACUUGACAUGUUCGUCGCGACUCUAAGAGAUUAGAGUUUUCGGUUCGGCCGGACGAAACACAGGUGCUGCAUGGCUGUCGUCAGCUCGUGUCGUGAGAUGUUGGGUUAAGUCCCGCAACGAGCGCAACCCUCACUUUUAGUUGCCAUCAUUAAGUUGGGCACUCUGAAAGAACUGCCAGUGAUAAGCUGGAGGAAGGUGGGGAUGACGUCAAGUCCUCAUGGCCCUUACGUGUUGGGCUACACACGUGCUACAAUGGUAUCUACAACAGGAAGCAAGACUGCGAAGUUAAGCAAAUCCCUAAAAGAUACCUCAGUUCGGAUUGCACUCUGCAACUCGAGUGCAUGAAGCUGGAAUUACUAGUAAUCGUGGAUCAGCGUGCCACGGUGAAUGCGUUCCCGGGUCUUGUACACACCGCCCGUCAAGGG